rnacentral:lncRNA from 1 species
CAUGCAGUGAUUCGAAAUUCGGUUAAUGUAUCUCCAUUACUAGAGAAAUUCUGAGUGCUCUCUUUUUACCUUUUUAGUAGGAUUCUUUAUAAUUUAUUUUCUUUUUUAUUUAUUCUUUCUUGGAAGGGAAACAUCUGGGAACAGAUUUUACGGAUACCCUUCAUCUUGGAAAUAAUUAAUGCGGUUCCCUUCAUUAUUUCAAUAUUCUGGCCUUCAUUAAGGAAUCUAUUUGUCCCAGUCUUUCUAAACUGUUGGCUUGCCAAACAUGCCUUGGAAAACAUGAUUGUAAGUAUGAAAAUUAAUUGCAAAUACAAGAAAAAUUGAGAUAUUUUUUAAUUAUCUACUUUUUCUACUUACUUUCUGUGCUUAAAUAGAAGAAGAAUAUGCUUUGAGGUGUAGUCUUUUGCUUUCUCAUUUUGCCUCCU